UACGUAGGGUGCAAGCGUUGUUCGGAUUUACUGGGCGUAAAGGGCGCGUAGGCGGCCACCGCAAGUCACUUGUGAAAUCUCCGGGCUUAACCCGGAAAGGUCAACUGAUACUGCGGGGCUAGAGUGCAGAAGGGGCAAUCGGAAUUCUUGGUGUAGCGGUGAAAUGCGUAGAUAUCAAGAGGAACACCUGAGGUGAAGACGGGUUGCUGGGCUGACACUGACGCUGAGGCGCGAAAGCCAGGGGAGCAAACGGG
rnacentral:rRNA from 1 species